rnacentral:lncRNA from 1 species
CAUUUAAUCUUUAUUUGACAUUUUCUCCCUUAAAACAUUCAGGCUUGGGAUUUUGCUGGCACUUUCUGCACAUUUUAACUAGAUCUAUGUAGAAUUUUCUAUAAAAUCAGGUCAGCUUGCGAUGUCUGGAGUCUGCCUGGAAGGCCUGGGAUUGCUACAGCCUCAGAUCAACCCAACAAAAGACAUUAAGGUUAACAAGUCCUUACUCCUUCCUCCUUCAUUCUUAGCCAAAAAAAUAUUCCUGAACUAUCCAUGCACCUCUUUGUCCAUCACACAAGAUAACAGCAAGAAAGAUGUAGUAUUUGGAUUCCAGCUAAGCCAAUGUGACAUGAGCGCGACUACUACUGGAAGUACCUUCCUGCAACUUGUGCUGUAGCAACUGCACUGAAAUUACUCACACCUCUUAAUUAAACCGGAGGUAACAUUUGGGAUUCAUCAAGACUGUCUUAGGAGAAGGCGGCUGAUACCACAAAACAAAUGAGAAAAGACUGU